CCGCACGGCUCAGGCGCUGCCCCUCCGGAGGCGGGGGCCGCUCGUGGGGUGGGGGUGGGAUGCGCUGAGAAAAGGAAACAGAGAGGAGGUGCAGCUCGUUCUCUGCUCUUCACGAGGAGAGAGAGAGACGAAACCCAAAAUAUUCAAGUGAGGAGAGAAAUUUUAAGCGGGAGUCGUCCUUUCUUCUGCCAGCCGAGCCGAGCCGAGCCACCAGCCCAGAGUUAUUUCGGAGAGAGGAGAGAGACAGAAGCGCAGAAGAUGGAGAGACGAGAGCUCCUGAAAUCGUGGGUCCCACGAGACACGUGUCGCGCUGCGACCGCCUUCUUGUUUGCCACGCUGUCUACAUAAGACGUACCCAAUAUUU
rnacentral:lncRNA from 1 species